UACGUAGGGUGCAAGCGUUAAUCGGAAUUACUGGGCGUAAAGCGUGCGCAGGCGGCGGCCCAAGUCAGGUGUGAAAUCCCCGGGCUUAACCUGGGAAUUGCGCUUGAAACUAGGCGGCUCGAGUGUGGCAGAGGGUGGUGGAAUUCCUCGUGUAGCGGUGAAAUGCGUAGAGAUGAGGAGGAACACUAGUGGCGAAGGCGGCCACCUGGACAGUAACUGACGCUGAGGCGCGAAAGCGUGGGUAGCAAACAGG
rnacentral:rRNA from 1 species